GGGGAUUUAGCUCAGUGGUAGAGCACUUGCCUAGGAUGCACAAGGCCCUGGGUUCGGUCCCCAGCUCCG
rnacentral:tRNA from 1 species